CACUCCAUGUCAGAGAAAUACUGAGGAAAACAUGAUUGUAUCUUGUAAUAAAAAUCUUUAUCCUGUAACAGCAGCUAACAUGGACUGAAAGUGUACAACGUACCAAGUCUUGUGCAAAGCUCUUUAUAUGCAGAAUGUCAUGUAAUCUGCCUGGCAACCCAAUGAGACAGAAAAGUUUAUUUGCGAAGGGACCAAGUCUGUGAUCAGCAAAGAACUUCAACGAGACGAUUGAUAGGAUCCUUUAGCAAGAUUAUGAGCACAGUGAAUUAUAAUGAAGCAAAGGAAAAGAUCAGCUAGAAGAUUAUUUGCAGCACCUAGGACUCUGAGCAGCUGAGGCAGAGAAGCCCCCAGCAGCCACUGUGACUGAGAAGAAAGAAGCCAAAAAGUGAGACCUGACAGCUUAAUGCGACCCCAGCAAAAAGGCCACAGCCAGACCAGCAGCUACUCAAGUAUGACUGCCCUGCUCAGGCUAGGGCAUGUAGCCCCAGUGCUGUGCCAGAACACAACAGCACAAAGAGCUCUGAUCUCUGUAGGGGGUGCGUCUACUUUAAGAUUUGGGAAGAAAGGGGCCUUCACUGAGAGCCAUCUCUCUUCCACCAGAAACAUGGAAAAAGAAGACAAACAGGGGUGUAGGGAAAGGGCCCCAUCUCCACCACUUCCCCAGGUGGAGCCUGAGGGCCCCUCUCCUCUUCUGGCAGCCUUGGAAAGCCUGGGUACUGCCAGGUACCCUAUUUACCUGAACACCUGCAGAGAAUCCCCCAGCAAUUGGCCCGCCUCUAGCCUCUGCAGAACUAAGGUCUGAGACUGGCUGUGCCAGGCACACAGCCCUUCCUGGACUUCCUGAAUGGCUUCCACAUGCAACUGUGAAAGUCCGUAUCAGGUAAUCAAGAUGUCAGGGUCCAUGGCCCUGAGGGGGAAUGGGGAUAUCUUGUUUUCCAUUGACAAUGCAGGGGGACAUUAGGUAUGGGCAGCUCUCUACCAAUAUACUUCACCACAGGACCUCUGCCAUGCCAGACAUCUAAGGACCCAUCUCUCCCAACCACGGAAAACUCGAUAAGCUUUAGACCUCAUGCUCCCUUCUCCCCACUCCCACUGCAGCCUCUG